rnacentral:lncRNA from 1 species
UGAGCUAUGCUUCCAACUUUACUGCCCUCCAUCAUCCGGCAUCUUUGACUCAUCCACCACCUUCUGUCCCUUUCAUUCUCAUUCCCCAUGUGUCAGCUCCCCAGAAAGGACAUAUCUUGUACACCUUGCCACAGCACUCAUCACCUGCUUCUGGACUGCCUGAGCAAGAGUGAUACUUCCUGUUCUAAAGACAGGAGUGAGGAUGGGGGAUACUCAGACUUUGGGAUGUGCCAGAACUGUGGCUAGUCCCCAGGAAGCAGAACUUGGAGGACUCAUAAAGGAGCCAAUCCCACCUCCAUCCUAAACAAGGCCAGUUCAUAAACCCCAUCUGGCACAGCAGCAGUCUCAGGAAGCUAAAUUGGGGAGUGCCCUGUAUCUCACUCCCUAA